rnacentral:other from 2 species
AACACCCUGCUGUGUUCGCUUACAGGCAGAUAUCUCUUACCGUUUCCGAUAUCUCGGGAGCUUGAUUACGAAGCGGAUUCGAGACCCUUCGGGGUACGAUGAAUCUUCGGCUAGAGCACCCACCUCAUCUUUGGGGUUAAGAGAUUGAAGCCUCUACGAUCUUGGUGGGGUGUUU